AUGAAAGAAAGAGGCCAUAAAAUUGUUCAAAAGAAGGAGAAAGAACUGAAAGGCCAACCCGAUGUUGCUCUAGGGCACACUAUUGUUGCUUUGGAAAGCGAUCUGCUCCAGGUGGUGCAGCCUUUUGGCGUGGUAGCCAAGUUCAUCGUGCUCCGUGCCAAAAAUCAGGAGCCCUAUCUGUUUCAUGCGUUUUCUCAAGUUCCACUUGUGUGGUGGAUGUGCGUUUGUGGUUUUUGUGAUUGUAACGUGGGGUUUGUGCUGCUGUUACUGCAUGCCCUUGUCCAGAUGGAUGACUUGGCUUCUUCAUUGAGCGUGAUCCAAUACUACACUACGAUUCAACAUAGCUCACCAUGCUCCUGCCAUAUCAGGGGAAGAAAUGUAUACUUGCAGUAUUCAUCUCAUCAAGAACUAACUACUGAUCCGAGCUCGCAUGGACAGAAUCCUGAUCAGGAUAGGAGCACACGGGGAAGUGCAUGGUUCUUGACAAUGAGGCCCUUUAUAAGAUCUGUUUCAGGACACUCUCAAGCUGACCACUCCCAGUUGUAA
rnacentral:rRNA from 1 species